rnacentral:rRNA from 1 species
GACGAACUUUGGCGGCGUGCUUAACACAUGCAAGUCGAACGGAAAGGCCCUGCUUUUGUGGGGUGCUCGAGUGGCGAACGGGUGAGUAACACGUGAGUAACCUGCCCUUGACUUUGGGAUAACUUCAGGAAACUGGGGCUAAUACCGGAUAGGAGCUCCUGCUGCAUGGUGGGGGUUGGAAAGUUUCGGCGGUUGGGGAUGGACUCGCGGCUUAUCAGCUUGUUGGUGGGGUAGUGGCUUACCAAGGCUUUGACGGGUAGCCGGCCUGAGAGGGUGACCGGCCACAUUGGGACUGAGAUACGGCCCAGACUCCUACGGGAGGCAGCAGUGGGGAAUAUUGCACAAUGGGCGGAAGCCUGAUGCAGCAACGCCGCGUGCGGGAUGACGGCCUUCGGGUUGUAAACCGCUUUCGCCUGUGACGAAGCGUGAGUGACGGUAAUGGGUAAAGAAGCACCGGCUAACUACGUGCCAGCAGCCGCGGUGAUACGUAGGGUGCGAGCGUUGUCCGGAUUUAUUGGGCGUAAAGGGCUCGUAGGUGGUUGAUCGCGUCGGAAGUGUAAUCUUGGGGCUUAACCCUGAGCGUGCUUUCGAUACGGGUUGACUUGAGGAAGGUAGGGGAGAAUGGAAUUCCUGGUGGAGCGGUGGAAUGCGCAGAUAUCAGGAGGAACACCAGUGGCGAAGGCGGUUCUCUGGGCCUUUCCUGACGCUGAGGAGCGAAAGCGUGGGGAGCGAACAGGCUUAGAUACCCUGGUAGUCCACGCUGUAAACGGUGGGUACUAGGUGUGGGGUCCAUUCCACGGGUUCCGUGCCGUAGCUAACGCUUUAAGUACCCCGCCUGGGGAGUACGGCCGCAAGGCUAAAACUCAAAGGAAUUGACGGGGCCCCGCACAAGCGGCGGAGCAUGCGGAUUAAUUCGAUGCAACGCGUAGAACCUUACCUGGGUUUGACAUGGAUCGGGAGCGCUCAGAGAUGGGUGUGCCUCUUUUGGGGUCGGUUCACAGGUGGUGCAUGGCUGUCGUCAGCUCGUGUCGUGAGAUGUUGGGUUAAGUCCCGCAACGAGCGCAACCCUUGUUCACUGUUGCCAGCACGUUAUGGUGGGGACUCAGUGGAGACCGCCGGGGUCAACUCGGAGGAAGGUGGGGAUGACGUCAAGUCAUCAUGCCCCUUAUGUCCAGGGCUUCACGCAUGCUACAAUGGCUGGUACAGAGAGUGGCGAGCCUGUGAGGGUGAGCGAAUCUCGGAAAGCCGGUCUCAGUUCGGAUUGGGGUCUGCAACUCGACCUCAUGAAGUCGGAGUCGCUAGUAAUCGCAAAUCAGCAACGCUGCGGUGAAUACGUUCCCGGGGC